AGCGAACGCUGGCGGCAGGCCUAACACAUGCAAGUCGAACGAAGUCUUCGGACUUAGUGGCGGACGGGUGAGUAACACGUGGGAACGUACCUUUUGGUUCGGAACAACUCAGGGAAACUUGAGCUAAUACCGGAUGAGCCCUUAGGGGGAAAGAUUUAUCGCCGAAAGAGCGGCCCGCGUUAGAUUAGCUAGUUGGUGAGGUAAAGGCUCACCAAGGCUACGAUCUAUAGCUGGUCUGAGAGGAUGAUCAGCCACACUGGGACUGAGACACGGCCCAGACUCCUACGGGAGGCAGCAGUGGGGAAUCUUGCGCAAUGGGCGAAAGCCUGACGCAGCCAUGCCGCGUGAAUGAUGAAGGUCUUGGGGUUGUAAAGCUCUUUCACCGAUGAAGAUAAUGACGGUAGUCGGAGAAGAAGCCCCGGCUAACUUCGUGCCAGCAGCCGCAGUAAAAC
rnacentral:rRNA from 1 species